GGACCUACCAUGCUAGUCAAACUCUUCAGGUGAAGUUAGCAAUGGUGGAAGACUAAGGCAUGGUUGAAGAUGUGAUUUGGGAAAGGUAACACUGGAAGAACCUUCCUCUAUCUGUUGGUACUCAUCAAGAUCUAUGCAUGCUACAUAUCAACGUGAUGUAGGAAGUCAUGAUGGAAACUUUGGCAUGAGUGGGUCAUGUAGAAAUCUGAAUAAGGCCCUCGUUUCUGCCUCUUCAAUUCUAAGCAAUGAUCUGCAUCCCUUGAAGUUUGGAGAGGAAAUGUAUAUAAAGCCUGUGGAGCAUGUGUCCAGACCUGUCCCUAGACAGCAACUUGCGACAUGAGCAUUCACAGAUGAAAUGACAGCUGAAAGCACUCAGUUAUCAUGAUCAAUCAUGAGUAUAAAAGUCUAGCUUGUGAAGCCUCAAUCUGAGAGUCCUGAAAAAAUGUUUUGGGGAACUACUUCUCAUGCCCCAGUGGGACAGAAAAUGUUUUUAACCAGAUGCCCUGUAAAUUUUGCCAUCUACAGGAAAGUAGAAUGAUGUACAGAAAUGGAGUGCAAUAGGCAAAUUUCAAACCUAUUCAUGAAAUAUUUAUGAGUAAAGGGUACAUUUGCUGAAAUUGGACGAACUACAGGAGAAGGAAGCAACAGCUGUACUCAUCAGGACAUAUUGAACGAAUGUUUUAGACACUAAGAGUUGGUUUAUAUCCUUCCCAUAGGUUAAUGAUCUGCUAAGUUGCUUUCAUCGGGGUUUACUUACAGCAUUUUAGUUUAUGUGUAACACCUGC